rnacentral:ncRNA from 1 species
AAGAUAGCAUCACCUCCUUUGAGUUAUACUUUUUUCUGAUAUUUCUCAAGAUGGUUUUGUCAUCUGCUUGGAUCUGAUUCAGACCGAGACAGAAAG